CCCCUAGAUGUUCUGGGCCGCACGCGCGCUACACUGAACAGUUCAACAAGUCUUAACCUUGGCCGAUAGGUCUGGGUAAUCUUUGAACGCUGUUCGUGACUGGGAUAGACCUUUGCAAUUAUGGGUCUUCAACGAGGAAUUCCUAGUAAACGCAAGUCAUCAGCUCGCAUUGAUUACGUCCCUGCCCUUUGUACACACCGCCCGUCGCACCUACCGAUUGAAUGGUCCGGUGAAAUCUCGGGACGGCGGCUUGGUCGCUUGCGUCCGACUGCUGAAACUUGAUUAAACCAUAUCAUUUAGAGGAAGGUGAAGUCGUAACA
rnacentral:rRNA from 1 species